AGAGUUUGAUCAUGGCUCAGGACGAACGCUGGCGGCGCGCCUAACACAUGCAAGUCGAACGGAGCUGAGAGGAGCUUGCUUUUCUUAGCUUAGUGGCGAACGGGUGAGUAACGUGUGAGUAACCUGCCCUGGAGUGGGGGACAACAGUUGGAAACGACUGCUAAUACCGCAUAAGCCCACGGAUCCGCAUGGAUCUGCGGGAAAAGGAUUUAUUCGCUUCAGGAUGGACUCGCGUCCAAUUAGCUAGUUGGUGAGGUAACGGCCCACCAAGGCGACGAUUGGUAGCCGGACUGAGAGGUUGAACGGCCACAUUGGGACUGAGACACGGCCCAGACUCCUACGGGAGGCAGCAGUGGGGGAUAUUGCACAAUGGGGGAAACCCUGAUGCAGCGACGCCGCGUGGAGGAAGAAGGUUUUCGGAUUGUAAACUCCUGUCGUUAGGGACGAUAAUGACGGUACCUAACAAGAAAGCACCGGCUAACUACGUGCCAGCAGCCGCGGUAAAACGUAGGGUGCAAGCGUUGUCCGGAAUUACUGGGUGUAAAGGGAGCGCAGGCGGACCGGCAAGUUGGAAGUGAAAACUAUGGGCUCAACCCAUAAAUUGCUUUCAAAACUGCUGGCCUUGAGUAGUGCAGAGGUAGGUGGAAUUCCCGGUGUAGCGGUGGAAUGCGUAGAUAUCGGGAGGAACACCAGUGGCGAAGGCGACCUACUGGGCACCAACUGACGCUGAGGCUCGAAAGCAUGGGUAGCAAACAGGAUUAGAUACCCUGGUAGUCCAUGCCGUAAACGAUGAUUACUAGGUGUUGGAGGAUUGACCCCUUCAGUGCCGCAGUUAACACAAUAAGUAAUCCACCUGGGGAGUACGACCGCAAGGUUGAAACUCAAAGGAAUUGACGGGGGCCCGCACAAGCAGUGGAGUAUGUGGUUUAAUUCGAAGCAACGCGAAGAACCUUACCAGGUCUUGACAUCCGAUGCAUAGCUUAGAGAUAAGUGAAGUCCUUCGGGACAUCGAGACAGGUGGUGCAUGGUUGUCGUCAGCUCGUGUCGUGAGAUGUUGGGUUAAGUCCCGCAACGAGCGCAACCCUUAUUGCCAGUUACUACGAAAGAGGACUCUGGCGAGACUGCCGUUGACAAAACGGAGGAAGGUGGGGAUGACGUCAAAUCAUCAUGCCCUUUAUGACCUGGGCUACACACGUACUACAAUGGCGUUUAACAAAGAGAAG
rnacentral:rRNA from 1 species